CUCCUGGUACAUCUUUGCAGCGCAAUGGUGCCGCCGUGCAAGGCGCGAGUGUUCACGAAGCCCAAACAAGCGAUCAUUUCGACACUUUGCCCAACGGGGAUGGGAGUGGCAGGGCAAUAUCAAUUAUU